rnacentral:rRNA from 1 species
UGGGCGUCGACCGGCGCACGGGUGAGUAACGCGUAUCCAACCUGCCCACCACUUGGGGAUAACCUUGCGAAAGUAAGACUAAUACCCAAUGACGUCUCUAGAGGACAUCUGAAAGAGAUUAAAGAUUCAUCGGUGAUGGAUGGGGAUGCGUCUGAUUAGCUUGUUGGCGGGGUAACGGCCCACCAAGGCUACGAUCAGUAGGGGUUCUGAGAGGAAGGUCCCCCACAUUGGAACUGAGACACGGUCCAAACUCCUACGGGAGGCAGCAGUGAGGAAUAUUGGUCAAUGGACGAGAGUCUGAACCAGCCAAGUAGCGUGCAGGAUGGCGGCCCUAUGGGUUGUAAACUGCUUUUAUAAGGGAAUAAAGUGAGUCUCGUGAGACUUUUUGCAUGUACCUUAUGAAUAAGGACCGGCUAAUUCCGUGCCAGCAGCCGCGGUAAUACGGAAGGUCCGGGCGUUAUCCGGAUUUAUUGGGUUUAAAGGGAGCGUAGGCCGGAGAUUAAGCGUGUUGUGAAAUGUAAAUGCUCAACAUCUGCACUGCAGCGCGAACUGGUUUCCUUGAGUACGCACAAAGUGGGCGGAAUUCGUGGUGUAGCGGUGAAAUGCUUAGAUAUCACGAAGAACUCCGAUUGCGAAGGCAGCUCACUGGAGCGCAACUGACGCUGAAGCUCGAAAGUGCGGGUAUCGAACAGGAUUAGAUACCCUGGUAGUCCGCACGGUAAACGAUGGAUGCCCGCUGUUGGUCUGAAUAGGUCAGCGGCCAAGCGAAAGCAUUACA